rnacentral:tRNA from 1 species
CCAACAGAUCGCCAGAUCGUUGAGCUCCAUAGGCGGGAUUUCGCCGUCUUCGUUUCUCUUUCUUCGCGGACGAACACGCGCCAGGGGCUGCGCUGUGCGACGCGUCUGGCGCUUAGUCGGAUGCGGGCCAGGCAAGCCUCGAUCCCUCGAGUGGGGAGAGCGUAGGGGCUUGUAGCUCAGUUGGUUAGAGCGCGCGCUUGAUAAGCGUGAGGUCGGAAGUUCAAGUCUUCCCAGGCCCACCACUUCAUCGAGCGCGUGCGUCUCUCAAGGCUUCUGCCGUAGCAUUCGUCUUCUGGUUACGGGGCCAUAGCUCAGCUGGGAGAGCGCGUGCUUUGCAAGCAUGAGGUCGUCGGUUCGAUCCCGUCUGGCUCCACCAGAUGAAUUCGAAGAUCGACGCGGCAUGCUGCUGCGAUUGUCCUUCGUCCGCGAAACAUCAAUUCGCAUGCAUCAUUCGCAAUCGAAUAUGCACUGCGUGUUUUCUGACAUCGUAAAGAGGAGAUCGAUCCGAGUUGGGUCGCAUGGAAAUUCUAUGCGCAUCCUUCACUAUCUCCGGGUCAUUUCGGCGCUCGCAGGUCGCAAGAUCAGCGGGUUGUAAAUGACUCUGUUAGCGAAGCCUGACCGCCUCGCUAUCGGUUCGAUCUUACGAAGCAAGCUGGUCUUUCUAAUCAGUGUCCGCUGCACGAGCUCUCCUGGUGAAGGUUCGUGCGGUAUGCAUUCUGCCGAGUGUGUGGACAUUGAUAAUGAGAGC